AUGGUCAACUCGGUGAUCACAUCCCUGGUGAUCUACGCUAUGUGCUCCAUCAAGCUGCCCCCGAAGAUCUUGGAACAUCUCGAUAAGCUUAGGCGCUAUUGUCUCUGGGCGAAGAACACAGAAGAUGGCCACAAAGCAAUGUCCUUGGUGGCGUGGGGCCUGGUUUGUCACCCCAAAGAGAAGGGGGGGUUGGGGAUCAUCGACCUUCAGACUCAGAAUCAAGCCCUGCUGAUUAAGCAGCUGCACAAAUUUUACAACCGCCAUGACGUGUCGUGGGUUAACCUGGUUUGGUCUACGUACUAUGAGGGGUUGGUGCCGCACGCAACUGAACCAUGCGGAUCAUUCUGGUGGUGUGACAUCCUCCAACUUACUCCAGCUUACAGGGGGUCACAAUGGUGGAGGUGGGGGACGGGAGCACGGUUCUCUUUUGGAAAGACUUGUGGCAUGAUCGGAGAAUCUGUGAUAGCC
rnacentral:rRNA from 1 species